rnacentral:rRNA from 1 species
UACAGAGGUCCCAAGCGUUGUUCGGAUUCACUGGGCGUAAAGGGUGCGUAGGCGGCCGGGUAAGUCGGGUGUGAAAUCUCGGAGCUUAACUCCGAAACUGCAUUCGAUACUGCCGUGCUUGAGGACUGGAGAGGAGACUGGAAUUUACGGUGUAGCGGUGAAAUGCGUAGAUAUCGUAAGGAAGACCAGUGGCGAAGGCGGGUCUCUGGACAGUUCCUGACGCUGAGGCACGAAGGCCAGGGGAGCAAACGGG